UGCCAGACUCCUACGGGAGGCAGCAGUGAGGAAUAUUGGUCAAUGGCCGGAAGGCUGAACCAGCCAAGCCGCGUGAAGGACGAAGGUGCCAAGCAUUGUAAACUUCUUUUGUCAAGGGACAAAAUCAGGCUCGAGAGCCUGACCGAGGGUACUUGAAGAAAAAGCAUCGGCCAACUCCGUGCCAGCAGCCGCGGUAAUACGGAGGAUCCGAGCGUUAUCCGGAUUCAUUGGGUUUAAAGGGUGCGUAGGUUGUUUUAUAAGUUAGCGGUGAAAUACCGAUGCUCAACAUCGGGGCUGCCGCUAAUACUGUAGGACUAGAGAUCGGAUGCAGCAGGCGGAAUGUGUAGUGUAGCGGUGAAAUGCAUAGAUAUUACACAGAACACCGAUUGCGAAGGCAGCUUGCUAGGCCGGAUCUGACACUGAUGCACGAAAGCGUGGGGAUCGAACAGGAUUAGAUACCCCCGUA
rnacentral:rRNA from 1 species